AAGUCGUAACAAGGUUCUCCGUAGGUGAACCUGCGGAGGGAUCAUUACAGAGUUCGAUCGGCCCCGUUGCCGGGUCAAGAGUCUCCCACCCUGUCGUUGAUUAUUACUUUGUUGCUUGGCGGGCCGUUGGGCUCACGCUCGACUACCGGGCUUUCGGCUGGUCAAUGCGCCCGCCACGUAGGAGCCCUAAAAGCCCUGAAGUAUUGAGUUGUCGUCUGAGUUAACCUAUAUCAAUAGUUAA
rnacentral:misc_RNA from 1 species